rnacentral:rRNA from 1 species
UACGUAGGGUGCAAGCGUUGUCCGGAAUUAUUGGGCGUAAAGGGCUCGUAGGCGGUCCAUCACGUCGGGAGUGAAAAGCUGGGGCUUAACCCCAGUCCUGCUUCCGAUACGGGUGGACUAGAGGUAGGCAGGGGAGAACGGAAUUCCUGGUGUAGCGGUGAAAUGCGCAGAUAUCAGGAGGAACACCAGUGGCGAAGGCGGCGACCUGGGCCAAUACUGACGCUGAGGUGCGAAAGCGUGGGGAGCAAACAGG